rnacentral:misc_RNA from 1 species
UGAGAAGUUCUGUAGGAGUAUGAAAG